UUAUUCCACACACAUCAUAUUUAUUUCAAAGUUAAUUUUCUCUCUCUUCACCAAAGAAAUCUAGAAAACUCUCUCAUUCUCAAACAAACCCUAGCCGCCGCCUCCUCCUCCUCCCUCCUUCAGUGUGUCUCCGGCGGUCGUUACAUUGCUCCACCAUCUUCAUCCUCUCCUUUUCAUCUGUAAUUAUACUCUAUCAAAUUUAUUUCAACUCAAAGAUGAUUUUAAAUUUCCCUACGACCAUCUUUUCGGCUAGAUCUUGACAUCCACGCACAAGCUUUUGAAAAUCCAUCACCAUAAAAAGAGUCCCCUCCAUCUUCUCUACAAAACCCAUUUAAAAAAAAUCAGGAACGGACAACCUUCGCCGGUGACCACCACGCCGGAGCUUGCAACCACCGCGCCGGGAAAGAGCUUACGUGGUUUCCAGAUCUGAGUCAGAAUUUUUACACAAACACUUAAACCUGGGCUGUUGUCUUCAUCAAGGGUUCUUUAAAAAUAACAGUUCUGUAGAAACCUCGGAUUGCACGUGGAGCGUGCAAAAAUGUCAGCCUAGCAGCUUUGCAACCAAAGGAAUGCAUGUAUGUUCACAGUUUAAUGAUUCCCAUGCCUAAUUUGCAACAAUGAAGUAUCUUGAGGAAAGGAGGUGAGAAUGAGGGCAAGAUAGCAGUCUGUGUGUGCAUAUGAUUUCUGGGUUGUAAAAUGGGGAAGAAACUUAAGAGAGAGAAAUAGAAGACAAGAUAAGCAAGUGAUAGAGAUGAGAGAAAAUCAUAUAGAGAAAGUGUGUGGUCUAUUUUGAUUGAGUGUGGAGAGGUGUAUGUGCUCUCUUGCUGAGGUGGAGUAGAUCAAUCCAUUAUUUUAAUCCUAAGGUAGAAAAAAAGCAUCUUUUGCUCCCUCAUGUCAUGAGGGACCUAUUGGCUCCCUCAUGUUAGACUUCACCUUAUGUUAUCAUCUAAAUAUAUGAUGCAGUGCUCGUGAACACAGGAAUCCAAAACCACUAAAACAUGCCAAGUGUCUCGUGAACUUCUUCGCUGUCCUUUUCUUCGCGAGACAUAGCAUUAUUGAUCUUAUAAAUUGUGAACCAUAACAUAAUUAUACUUGCGGUAAAUUCUUUAUUCAAAGCUUUUCAGAUAUGCACUCUCUCUCUUGCGAAACACUCUCAGUUCCGAUCUCAGUCUCAAUCUUACGCUCACCGCGCCGAUCUCCACCACUAUCGCCGUCGAUUACUCUGAUAACCACCGCCAUAGUCGAGAACAUCGAAGUUCUCGCUGAUGCUCAAUUCGGCGAGUUCGUCGACACCUUAUACUUCAUUGUCCACCGAUGGAAUCUGAUUCACGGAAUUUGUUCUAUCUCCAAUACAAGCAAUUUUCGGAUCUAUAUUUCUUUGUUUUUUUUAGCUUUUGGAAAUUUAAUGAAGAAUGGUGUACUUCAAUUUCUGUCCGAAACUGCCAAUAUUACAAGAUAAUUUCAUAUUUAUCUAAUAUCACGCUGGUGGACAAUUUGGUGGCAUCAGUAGUGGCUACUCUGUUUCAAGAGGUUACCAUGGGCUCUACCGAAACAGCAAGAACUCUCUUACUGUGAUUCGGAUUCAAGCGGUUGUUGUGGCUACGGAUAGCUAAUGCAAUUCCCGGUAUUUUGACGUCAGUUUUGCUAAGUUCGGUUAAGAAUUGAGGUCUGGAGACAACGUUGAAGUAAGGGACCUGAUGUAGGAUUUCAGCAGAAUCGGGGUUCACAUGUGACAACUCGCCGAAGUAAGCAUGAAGCGUCGUCUAGCGAGGAGGUGCAGAAAUGGAGUCGGAGUUCAGACGGAACUAUGUACAAGCUCCGGACAAUGUUUGAGACCAUACUGCCGCCUAACACAAAUAUCCCCGAGGCAUAUGCUCAUGGCAAUAGUGAAGAACAAGCAUUUAUACAGGAUGCUUAAGUUGGGUCUUGCUAUGUCUAAUAUUAAUGGAGAGAUGGUUGUCGAAACUCCAGCUAAAGGUUCGGUUACUACUUCUCUCGUAUGUUUGAGAUGUCCUUUGUCUUUGUUUGAUCGUGAUUUUGAAAUGGAUUUAGUUUGUUUACCUUUGAGUGGAAUGAAUGUGAUUCUUGGUAUGAACUGGUUAGAGUACAACCAUGUUCUUAUCAACUGUUUUAGCAAUUCGGUGUCCUCCUCCUCUGCUGAAGAAGAAAGUGGAGUGGAGUUCUUGUCUACUAAGCAGCUGAAGCAACUAGAACGAGAUGGAAUUUUGAUGUUUACCUUGAUGGCAUCCAUGUCUAUUGACAUUGUUGUGUCGAAUCGUUGAAGUUGUUGAUAAUAACAAACCAUGGGAUAUUGAUGAAUAUGCUGUCGCUUAUGUUAUGAUGUUUAUGAUGUGAUGAUUUAUGAUAUUAUAUGAUGACGGUCAUAUUUUGAGUUAUUAAUGAAUUCUUAUAAGAAGAGUUAAUUGAUGAAGUUUAGGUUGUUAAAUGCACAUUUUUGUAUUAUAUGCUUAUUAUUAUUGAAAUGUGAAAUAUCACCCUUUCUGUUUGAA